rnacentral:lncRNA from 1 species
CUUUCGCGUCCCCUUCUAAAUUAAAUUAACCCUUCUUUUAAAAUCACCCCUCUUACAUUAUUCUCUCCCUAUCAACAAAGAUACACACAUUCCUUAUCACACUGUUUUGAACACUUCUUUUUGCUACUAUGGAUGCAAGUUCACGAAUUCUAGAGAUCACGGUUAUAUCCGGUGAAAACCUUCAUGUAAAGGACGAAGCCUACGUUGUCGUUCGAGCUGAAUCCAUCAACUGUUACGCCACAAAAACAGCCAUAGAUAACGCCACUGACAAUGACUUGAGUUUCCUUUCAUGGAACGAGAAAUUCCUUAUUAACAUGCCAAUGCAUGCAAAAUCCAUGACGUUCGAGGUGCAAAGGGAAUGGUGGCGAGGGGGUGAAAAGUUAAUAAGAGCUCAUGUAGAUGAUAACAAGUCUUGUGGAGUUGUUGCUAGUUCUCCUUUUUGGUGGAACGUCCCUAACAUUAUUUAAAUACAUGUACUGUCAUUUUUUUUAUAAAUGGGUG